GGGUCAGUAGGUUGGUCGUGCCACCGGUACGUACUGGUCUCACUGAUUCCUCCUUCCUGAAGAACCGUAAUGCCAUUAAUUUGGUGUUGCGGGGAAACAGGACCGUUACUUUGAAAAAAUUAGAGUAUUUAAAGCAAGCUAACGCUUGAAUACAUUAGCAUGGAAUAAUGAAAUAGGACGAUCGAUCCUAUUUUGUUGGUUUCUAGGAUUGACGUA
rnacentral:rRNA from 1 species